GGGCCGAUAGCUCAGCCCGGCAGAGCGUCUGGCUUUUAACCAGACGGUCGAGGGUUCAAAUCCCUCUCGGCCCG
rfam:Halobacterium sp. NRC-1, complete genome.